rnacentral:rRNA from 1 species
AUGAACGCUGGCGGCGUGCUUCACACAUGCAAGUCGAACGGAAAGGCCAGUGCUUGCCCUGGUGCUCGAGUGGCGAACGGGUGAGUAACACGUGGGUGAUCUGCCCUGCACUUUGGGAUAAGCCUGGGAAACUGGGUCUAAUACCAGAUAGGACCAUGCUUUGGAUGGUGUGGUGGAAAGUUUUUUCGGUGUGGGAUGAGCUUGCGGCCUAUCAGCUUGUUGGUGGGGUAAUGGCCUACCAAGGCGUCGACGGGUAGCCGGCCUGAGAGGGUGUACGGCCACAUUGGGACUGAGAUACGGCCCAGACUCCUACGGGAGGCAGCAGUGGGGAAUAUUGCACAAUGGGCGCAAGCCUGAUGCAGCGACGCCGCGUGGGGGAUGACGGCCUUCGGGUUGUAAACUCCUUUCGCAACUGACGAAGCUUUUUGUGACGGUAGGUUGAGAAGAAGCACCGGCUAACUACGUG